UGGGGAAUUUUGGACAAUGGGCGAAAGCCUGAUCCAGCAAUGCCGCGUGUGUGAAGAAGGCCUUCGGGUUGUAAAGCACUUUUGUCCGGAAAGAAAUCCUUGGCUCUAAUACAGUCGGGGGAUGACGGUACCGGAAGAAUAAGCACCGGCUAACUACGUGCCAGCAGCCGCGGUAAUACGUAGGGUGCAAGCGUUAAUCGGAAUUACUGGGCGUAAAGCGUGCGCAGGCGGUUUGCUAAGACCGAUGUGAAAUCCCCGGGCUCAACCUGGGAACUGCAUUGGUGACUGGCAGGCUAGAGUAUGGCAGAGGGGGGUAGAAUUCCACGUGUAGCAGUGAAAUGCGUAGAGAUGUGGAGGAAUACCGAUGGCGAAGGCAGCCCCCUGGGCCAAUACUGACGCUCAUGCACGAAAGCGUGGGGAGCAAACAGGAUUAGAUACCCUGGUAGUCCACGCCCCUAAAACGACGUCAACUAGUUGUUGGGGAUUCAUUUCCUUAGUAACGUAGCUAACGCGUGAAGUUGACCGCCUGGGGAGUACGGUCGCAAGAUUAAAACUCAAAGGAAUUGACGGGGU
rnacentral:rRNA from 1 species